rnacentral:rRNA from 1 species
UUGCCAGCCCGCUCAGAAACUCAAAGGAAUUGACGGGGCCCGCACAAGCGGUGGAGUAUGUGGUUUAAUUCGAUGCAACGCGAAGAACCUUACCUGGUCUUGACAUCCCGGAGACCCUUAGGAAACUAGGGGGUGCUUCCAUCUGGAAGAAUCUGGAGACAGGUGCUGCAUGGCUGUCGUCAGCUCGUGUCGUGAGAUGUUGGGUUAAGUCCCGCAACGAGCGCAACCCUUGCCUUUAGUUGCCAGCAGUUCGGCUGGGCACUCUAAAGGGACUGCCGGUGUUAAACCGGGGGAAGGUGGGGAUGACGUCAAGUCCUCAUGGCCUUUAUGACCAGGGCUACACACGUACUACAAUGGCCGAUACAAAGGGCAGCGACACUGCGAGGUGAAGCCAAUCCCGUAAAAUCGGUCUCAGUCCGGAUUGGAGUCUGCAACUCGACUCCAUGAAGUUGGAAUCGCUAGUAAUCGCGCAUCAGCCAUGGCGCGGUGAAUACGUUCCCGGGCCUU